rnacentral:rRNA from 1 species
AACGAACGCUGGCGGCAUGCCUAACACAUGCAAGUCGAACGGUAACAGGCCUUCGGGCGCUGACGAGUGGCGGACGGGUGAGUAACGCGUAGGAAUCGGCCUCAUAGUGGGGGACAACGUGUGGAAACGCACGCUAAUACGGCAUACGCCCUACGGGGGAAAGCGGGGGACCUUCGGGCCUCGCGUUAUGAGAUGAGCAUGCGUUAGAUUAGCUACUUGGUAGGGUAAAGGCCUACCAAGGCGACGAUUUAUAGCUGGUCUGAUAUGACGAUCAGCCACACUGAGACUGCGACACGGCCCAGACUCCUACGGGAGGCAGCAGUGGGGAAUAUUGGACAAUGGGCGCAAGCCUGAUCCAGCAAUACCGCGUGUGUGAAGAAGGCCCUAGGGUUGUAAAGCACUUUCAAUAGGGAGGAAAACCUGUCGGUCAAUACCCGGCAGCUUGACAUUACCUAUACAAGAAGCACCGGCUAACUCCGUGCCAGCAGCCGCCGUAA